AACCCUUCUCAUAUAAUAGUUCCAUCACUCUUGUGUUAUUGAUGUCACAAAUUACAUCUUUACACAUUAUAUACCCGUUUACAUAGACUUAUAAUUAUGUUCUAUGCAUUUGUCUCACACACCCUGAAGUAGAGUUAAAUUCAAAGUAGAGUUAAAUCCAAAAUUAUAGAGGAUUAAAAAUUUUUCAGUCUCACCCUUUGAUUUCAGGAAAGGGAAAUGGGCUGGAGGUUGAAUGAAUGUCCAAUGAUUUCGUCAAUCAUGCCUAUGUAAAUGAAGCCUCCAUAAAAACCCAAAGGAUGGAUUCAGAGAACUUCUGGGUUAGUGACGUUGUGGAGGUGUCUAGAGAGGAUGGAAUGGGUCCUAUGCAUCUUCCAUCUGGCUGUUCUUGAGUUUUAUCUUUUUAUAAUAAACCAGUAACCUAGAAAGUAAAAUGUGUCUCUAAGUUCUUUUAGCCACAGUAACAACUUAAUGAAACCCAAGGAGGGGAUCAUGGGAACAUCUGAUCUCUAGCCAGUCCAUCAGAAGCAUAGGUGACAACCUGGACUUGGAAUGACAGCUGAAGUAGGGGCUGUCAAAAGGGGGGCAGUUUUGCAGGACUGAGCCUUUAACAUAUUGGACCUGACAGUCUUAGAAUUGAAUUCAUUGCUUGGUAGCAUUUGCAAAAAAUAAUCUUCCAAGAAGGACUUCCUUUAACAUUCUCUGUAGAACAAGUUUUGUAGUAAUGAACUCUCUCAGCUUUUGUUUUUCUGGAAAGUCUUAAUUUCUCUAUCACUUUUGAAGGAUAGUUUCUGGAUAGAGAAUUCUCAUUUUAAGUUUUGUUUUGUUUUGUUUUUGGUUUGUUUUUUCCCCAGCGUGUAUUAAAUAUAUCAUCCCACUGCUUUCUGGUCUGCAAGAGUGCUGCUGAGAAACUGGAGAAUAAUCUAUUAAGGAUCAUUUGUCUAUGAUGAGUUGCUUCACUCUUGUUGAUUUCAAGAUUCCCUUUGACUUUGGCUUUUGACAGUUUGAUUAUGUGACUUGAUGUGAAUCUCUUUUGGUUAUCCUAAAGUACGUUGAGCUUCUUGGAUUUGUAUAUUCAUGUAUUUCAUGAAAUUCAGGAUGUUUUCAGCCAUUAUUUCCUCAAAUAAGUCUCUGCUACUUUCUUUCUCUUCUGGGAUUCCCAUAAUUUAUAUACAGACAUAUUCUUUUUGCUUGUUUAUUGCACUUCACUUUAUUUUGCUUCGCAGAUACUGCACUUUUUAUAAAUCAAAGGUUUGUGGCAACCCUGCAUUGAGCAAGUCUAUGGGCACCAUUUUCCUAAUAGUAUUUACACACCUCGUGUCUCUGUCACAUUUUGACGAUUCUCACACUUUUGGUAAUUCAAACUUUUUCAUUAUUAUAUUUGUUAUGAUGAUCUGCAAUCAGUAAUCUGUGACGUUACUAUUUGUGAGUUUUGACGUGCCACACCACACGUGUGUGUUCUGACUACAGAUAAGGUAGAAACAGCAAGAGAACUAGAAUUAGAAGUAGAACCUGAAGAUGUGACUGCAUUGCUGCAAUCUCAUAAUAAAACUUUAGCAAAAGAGGGGGUGCUUCUCAUGGCCGCUCAAAGAAAAUGGUUUCUUGGGAUGGAAUCUAUUCCUGGUGAGAUGCCGUGAAGACUGUUAAAAUGACAACAAAAGCUUUAGAAUUUUACACCAAUUUAUUUGGCAAAGCAGUGGCAGGAUUUGAGGGGAAUGACUCCAAUUUUGAAAAAAGUUCUGAUGUGAGCAAAAUGCUAUUAAACAACAUUGCGUGCUACAGAGAAAUCAUUCAUGAAGAGUCAAUUAAUGGCCAACUUCAUUGUUGCUUGAUUUUAAGAAGUUUUCACAGCCAUUCUGACCUUCAGCAACCACCACCCUGGUCAGCCAGCAGCCAUGAACAUCAAGGUAAGACCCCUUAUCAGCAAAAAUAUUACUACUUGCUAAAAUAUCACUCACUCAAGUGAUGGUUUAUUUUUAGAAAUAAAGUAUUUUUUAAUUAAUCUUUAAAUUCUAUUUAUUUAUUUAUUUAUUUAUUGAGAGAAAGAGAGAGAGAGCACAUGCAGGGGAGGGUCAGAAGGAAGGAGAGACAGAAUUCCAAGCAGUCUCCACACUGUCAGCCGCAGAACCCGAUGCAGGGCUUGAACUCAUGAACUGCAAGAUCGUGACCUGAGCCGAGAUCAAGAGUCAGAUGCUUAACCAAGUGUGUUACCCAGGUGCCCCAUAAAUAAAGUAUUUUUUAACUUAGGUAUGUAUAUUGUUUUUUGUAGACAUAGUGCUAUUGCAUCCUUAAUACGCUACAGUGCAGUGUAAACGUAACCCCUAUAUACAUUGGGAAACCAAAAACAUUCAUUUGACUUGGUUUAUUGGGAUAUCCAUUUUAUUGCUGUGGUCUGGAGCUGAACCCACCAUAUCCUAGAGACAUUGCCAAUAUUGGUCUUCUUUUUUUUUUUUUUUUAAUUUUUUAAUGUUUAUUUAUUUUUGAGACAGAGACAGAGCAUGAACGGGGGAGGGUCAGAGAGAGAGAGACACAGAAUCUGAAACAGGCUCCAGGCUCUGAGCUGUCAGCACAGAGCCUGACGCGGGGCUCGAACUCACGGACCGCGAGAUCAUGACCUGAGCUGAAGUCGGCCGCUCAACUGACUGAGCCACCCAGGCGCCCCACCGAUAUUGGUCUUCUUGAUGGCAUCCCGCCUUUCUUAAGCACAGACCCAGUGAAGCCAUUUUCUCUGCCAGAAGGCUCCAGUGGGUCUUGGACCACGGGACAAAGAAUGACAAAUGCUCAGCAUGUGGGCGGCCGCUCCCACUCCUGGCUUGCAGGGCACACUUGUUCAAUAAAGCUGCUUUCAGCAGGGGAAACUUUCCAGCGUGGCUCUCCAGGUAGCCAAUACUUAGGCUGCUUUUCAUGUCUAAGAAAAGAAAUCAAUUCUAAAGAUAGACAACGAUGAGCAACUACUUAUCUGUGCGAUGGAGAUCAUGGCAGAGGCCAGAAGUGAGUAGAGUCGAAAAGAACUGGUGAACAAAACCUGAACUGGCUUCCAGCCGCUCCCUGCAGAGGCGCCCUGCACAAAUGCCAAAAAGCAGAGUGGAGUCCGACUGGAAGAUGGCUCGAGAGUUCCGUGAUUUUCUUCCAUCAGGGAAACGGCAAUAAAACUGGAAGCCACGGGCCAGAAGGCCCUGCAAGAUGUCUGGGGAAAAGCAGAUAAUGAGGGGAACUUGACUUGCACAUAUUAAUUCAAUCAGCAGAAACUGGAGGUUUUAGUCCAGGGUUCCAGACCUACCGGAAAGAGCAAUCUCUGUGAGCAGCUAUUUCCUGGCAUUGAAGAAUUUACAUGGAAAGUCAAGAGCGUCUCAUUUCCUGGAACUAAAGUGAGUACGUCCCCUACUAGGUUCCUGCUCACACAGUCUCAGAAGACCCUCUCCCGAAAUCCCACCAGACCUUCUCCCAGGAUGACCUAAAUGCAGACGGUCAGCUGGUACUCCAGGUUCCAAUCAGGGAAAACAACCGUACAACCUUCUACGGUAGCUUCUAGAAGGCAGCCAGUCUCCUUAUGAGCUUCUCUUUCACGGCGCCUAGAACCCAGCUCUCGUGGCGAGUGUGAGUGUCGGUGAAGAGGGCCAGCAGCCGGGGAGGAAGGCGGGCUGGUGACAGCAUUCUUCACCCGUGUGGUCAGAGUUCUUCCUGAUCUGUGCAAUCGCUUCUUGAUGUUCCAGACACAGGCCAGGAAGGCAAAAAGGAAGUGCAAGACACCAUCGCACCUAGAUUCCAGAAAGCUUUCGCUCCGUUUGGAUCAACUUGAGAGGACGCGCUAAUAAACAGGGUUUCCAGAGAUCCUGGGAAGCAGCCCGGAGACCGGAGCCGGGGCACCUGGCGGGAGCUUCAGCGCGCCUUCCUCCCUGGAACAGCGCUGUCACUUGGCACCGUUGUCCUGGCAAGUCAGCCCCGUUCACAGUCCCUCUGAUUGGUCAGCCCUGUCCUUCCAGAUACGCCUUUCUGACAUCUUGCCUCCACGGUGCUGCCUUGCCGGAGGGGGGUUCUCACCUGGGCUGUCACAGGGUCCAGCCUUCAAUCAGGAUGCUCCCCAGGUAUUUCCAAAUCACCAGGAGGAAACGUGGGCUGUGCUCCAAGCUGAUUCCUCCCACCCUCCCUCCCGUUCUUUCCUCUCUCGCUUCCUGUCUUCCUUCCUUUCCUCUGUCCUUUCUACCUUCCUGCCCCUUAUUUAUUGACUUCCUGCUAUAUGCGGGGCACUAAGCGUUUGUUAAUUACCUGGGGGUUAGGCUGAGCUCUUAGAUUUGAAGAUGAGGGAAACAGUGUUGAAAGCACCUAAAGGAGAAGAAAAUUUAUGGGGUGUGUGUUGCAUAAAUGCCCUUCGCUAAUCAGAAAGAUUGUGAAAUGAUUUGGACUUGAAUAAGUCGACGAAGGGGGCAGAGGGGCAAACGGCAAAGCUCGGAGACAGUAGGUGCAGGAAGAGUGAUAGCGCAAAAAUAAAUCCGCAGUGCAUAUCAAAUGAAUUUGUGCAGUGCUCCUCCUGUUCAUCCCGACCUGGGCCGGCGGCAAGGGGAGCAGAGAGAAAAGUGGAAAAGAUGCUCUGGGGAGGCGUCUUGCUUCGGAGCUGCUGACCGAUACACUACGUGUGGAUUCCCCGGGGAUUUCCAGGCGGGUGGCUGUGGAACAGGCAGAGGUUUAGUGGUUUCCCAGGAAGGAAUAAAUUUCCUGCAGUGAAUCACCCUGUGUCAAGGAGGAUUUUUGUGACAUCAGCUCCAAGCAGAUCAUCGAGGCUUUCCCACUCAAGAGGGCAUUGGAGCAUAACACCACCAUGGCCCACACUUUAUUUUUUCUUUCUUGUAUUUUCCAAAGGGCCAUUUGGACCAAAAGUGGCCUGUGGCCCCGGGAAACUCUGAGUAACGGCUUGGCAUCUUAGGAAUCUGUGUGUCGUGCUUUGUGGAAGAGUCUGGAAAGGUCUAGUUCUGUCUGGAAAACAAAACUCAUGGUUGUUAACGUGAAAGUGUAACCCUGCUUCUUCCUUUUCUUCUAAUAAAUGCUGCAAACUUGAAAUAAAAUGAAUUAGACCCCUUGGAUAUCCAGACAUAUCACUUAAAAUCACUUUGCUUCUAGUGAUCUAAUUAUAUCAACUUUGGAUUUUGGAUGCACAGUUGCAACGCUUUGCAAGUAUUUUCAAAUCCUCAAUAUUUUCCUUUUUUAUUCCCACUUUUAUUUUUUUCAGUGAAGGCUAACGUCUUCCAGCCGCAGGCUUG